CCGCAGGUCAUUGACACCGUGCCCAUGGACGAGAGCACGGAGGAGAUGUUCCGCUACUUCGAGCCGCUCUACGAGGUGAUCCACGACAUGCCCCGGCCCCCCGAGUCCUUCUUCAGGAGCCGAGGGGGACCUGGGCUGGCUCCUGCCCCCGAGGCACUCGAGGGGAGCCAGGUGACAAGUGACUCUGAGGGGGACACAUUCAGUGACACCCUGGAGCAGAUGGAGCCUGAGAAGGCUGGGCAGGUGCAGGGGCUCACCCCAAAGGGGGUCCAGGCUGGGGCUGAGCCCCCAGAGCCCCACAGUGCUGGGCAGGGUGAGCGGGGCGAAGGCAGAAGAGCCGAGGGGAGCAGCAGCACAGACCUGCCAGCCCUGGGCUCCGAGACAGGUGGGUGCAGAGCUUGUCCCUGCGCCUCCUCCUGCUGCUGCUGCUGUUGCCCACCUCCAUGGGCUGGGCUGGGGGUGGGAGGGGACUGAGUUUGGCUCCAGCACCCAUGGUUGGGUGAUCAGAGGCUGAAGGAAGCCACAAGUGUCCUGUGUCCAAAUCCCUUGGUCCCCAAGCAGCUCAGCCCUCCUUUGGCCGUUUCCUGCCAUGGUACUGAAUUGCCUCAGUUUGGAGGGUGCUCUGCUGGCCCUCCAGCAGCCAGGCAGGAGAUGCAGGGCCCUGGCUUCCCAUGCCCAGGUCCAGCUACACCAGCGGUGCCUUCGGAUGUGGGUGGUGCCAAGGGUGAGCUCUGCCCAGCAGAGCAGGGGUGAAGCUGGGCCCUGUGCCCUGGAGGCCUUGGGGACAGCAGUGCCACUCGCCUGAUGCCACCCAGCAGUGCUGCUGGAGUCUGGGGACCACCAGGCCUUGAGCUGUGCCACCCUGUGUGCUGUCCCCAGACAUACUGGGCUGCCCUGGGGUGGCAUUGCCACUCUCACCCGUGGGACUGGUGCCAUUGCCUCACCUGGGCACACCCCACGUGUCUCACCCUUUCCCCUGUUACUGUUCCCUUCCGGGCUGCUUGACCUUGUCCCCAGGCCAGGCUGGGCUGUCCCCAGGGCUGGCAGCAAGUCCCUGCCUGUGUCCUGCUCCCUGCUUGGAUUAUCCAGGUGUUUGCCAGGCUGCUUUGGGGCCUCUGAUGGGCCCGGGGGCGGCCAGGGAGGAGCUGCCCUGGCCCUGGGUGUCCUGCCCUGUGGUGGCAGGUGUCACCAGGUGACCCACACACACCACAGCACCCACACCGUGGGUGG
rnacentral:lncRNA from 1 species